rnacentral:rRNA from 1 species
UUCGGGGUGAAAAGUCUUCGGACGCCAGAGGAUCGGGCCUGCGGCCCAUUAUUUAAUCCCUUGUUGGUGGGGUAAACGGCCUACCAAGGGUACCGAUGGGGUAAGCUGGUCUGAGAGGAUGAUCAGCCACACUGGGACUGAGACACGGCCCAGACUCCUACGGGAGGCAGCAUGGGGAAUAUUGGACAAUGGGGGAAACCCUGAUCCAGCUACGCCGCGUGGGUGAUGAAGGCCUUCGGGUUGUAAAGCCCUGUCGAGGGGGACGAAGUUCUGACGGUACCCCUCAAGAAAGCACCGGCUAACUCCGUG